AGCAGUAGCCACGGUAAUACGGAGGAUCCAAGCGUUAUCCGGAAUCAUUGGGUUUAAAGGGUCCGUAGGCGGUCUUGUAAGUCAGUGGUGAAAGCCCAUCGCUCAACGGUGGAACGGCCAUUGAUACUGCAGGACUUGAAUUAUUGGGAAGUAACUAGAAUAUGUAGUGUAGCGGUGAAAUGCUUAGAGAUUACAUGGAAUACCAAUUGCGAAGGCAGGUUACUACCAAUUGAUUGACGCUGAUGGACGAAAGCGUGGGUAGCGAACAGGAUUAGAUACCCGAGUAGUCCCUGUCUCUUAUAA
rnacentral:rRNA from 1 species